GACGAACGCUGGCGGCGUGCCUAAUACAUGCAAGUAGAACGCAGUUGCGAACGGGUGAUUAACGCGUAGGUCACUGCCUGGUAUCGGGGGAUAACUAUUGGAAACGAUAGCUAAUACCGCAUACUACCAGAUGGACCUGCGUUGUAUUAGCUAGUUGGUGGGGUAACGGCUCACCAAGGCAACGAUACAUAGCCGAGCUGAAGGGGUGAUCGGCCACACUGGGACUGAGACACGGCCCAGACUCCUCAGGGAGGAAGCAGUGGGGAAUCUUCGGCAAUGGGGGGAAGCCUGAACGAGCAACGGCGCGUGAGUGAAGAAGGUUUUCGGAUCGUAAAGCUCUGUUGUUAAGGAAGCGGUACUUGACCAGAAAGGGACGGCUAACUACGUGCCAGCCGCCGCGGUAAUUC
rnacentral:rRNA from 1 species